rnacentral:lncRNA from 10 species
CACCUUUAUCACAGACACAGCCAUCAGUUUCAUCAGGCAGUUUCCUAUGGUGCCCCUCAAUAUUGUCCAGUUGCAACACCCAAGGAAAAUAACCUACGUAAAGGAAUGGGUGGAGGACUCUUAUUUAAGGAUCUAACUCUCUGCUGGUUUAACUUAAUCCUGAGUAAAUUUUGGAGGAUCUAGAGGGACUGCUUAUCUUUCAGUGAACAGCCCAAGCUGCCAGAAAGAACAGAGAAGACAGAAGAAAAAGCAAUGGAAACUGGAACAUCUGUCCCCUUCAUGCUGCAAAAGCUAGUAACCAAGAUCUCACUGUUUCCUUCUCUAUCUGAAGGACAAACAGCAUAAAGCAGGGAUUGGAUUGAUAUGGGACACUACAGAAGAUGUUUGCUUAUAAUUAUUUCUAGCACUUUUUCUGAAGCUCAGGGAUAAAACAUUUCCAAUUAUUCAUCAAGCUCUUGGAACUCACAGGCAUCUGUAACAGGGAUUUAGCAGAACAACAAAUAGCAUGCAAGAAUACAGAUGAAAGGAAGGAAUGUGAAGAGAUUAUUACCAUAUAAAGCAAAUGACUAUUUGAUGAAAUUGCAACAAUACGGAGAGUCAUAGAGAUACAGAAAAGUGAAUAUCAAAGGAAGACAGACGGACCUUCUGAAAGAUAAUUAUUGUAGACUUUGUAUUAUUUCAGUAGCUGUCUUGGAAAAGCUGCCUACCUGAGACCAUUGACAGCUCAAAUUUUUAAAAUAUUUGUGUAAAUACCUUUUAGUAGUAUCUGACAGCCUUAGUCUACCCAAAUACAUGAUGAUUUUUAUUACUUAUUUGUGGAUUACACCCUGUCUACUUCUAAACAGAUUUUGAGCGUCGUUUAACAUAGACUAUCUUAAAUCUAAAACAAAGCAUGAGGGCUAUCUCUGCUCCUGUUCUAUAAUUCCUCUGCAUCCUGUUCCUCCUUUGCUAGUACGGAGAAAAUUUAAAUUAUCUAUAGAUAAUGACAAUUAUAGCAGAGAUAUGCUUUAAAAACUUGCAUUUGGCAGAUUUUUAAAUACUGAGUGCUGUCAAAGUGGAAGGGAGGGAAGGCAAAAUUGCUUUCUAGCCACAUAUAGCUGGGCCAUCCUUCCAACAGUAUACGUCAGUCCAGGAAAUAGAUUGCUGUUCAAAAAUACAUUGAAUUUAGUUUUUUCAGUUACCUUUGAGUAGAUGACACAUUUCUAUUUAUUUUUAAAUAAAAUACAAUAUUUUAAGGAAAAGGUAACAAAGAAAUUCAAAUUAAGUGGCAGGAUGGUAUCUCAAAGUCUCUUCUAUUGUCCCAAACUGUAAGAAGCUGCCAUUGGCUAAACCUUUCAGUAAUGACAUUGAAGAGCUCAGUGGUCCAUUCUGUCAAGAGCCCUGUUAGCCCCAGCACCUCCUUCAGAGGGCACAGAGCUGUUUAGGGGACUUGGCAGUUAAGGUCUUUGAGGUUUUGUGUAGUUUGUAUUUUUUUUUUCUGUAAACAACUAAAAUUUCUGUUUUAUAGGCAUAAAAUACUUGUUGGAGUAACCAAGCAUGUGACUCACGAUGGCAUAGCCUAAUAAAGUAAAUCAAUUUGCUACCUGUUAAUGUUGUGUUUUAAAGGAAUUAGGAAGUGAAAUUUGCAGUUUGGAAAGGUUCACAUUUAUAAAUUAAGCUACAUCUGCCACCUAUAUAACGUUAAUAACUAUUAGCUCUACAAACCUGCAUAUCGCAGUUCUAAACAGAAGAUCACUUCCUGGUCAGCUUGUGG